CAGUCGCCGCGGGAAUACGAAGGGUGCAAGCGUUAUCGGAAUUACUGGGCGUAAAGCGUGCGUAGGCGGUGAGUUAAGUCUGCUGUGAAAUCCCCGGGCUCAACCUGGGAAUGGCAGUGGAUACUGGCUCGCUAGAGUGUGUCAGAGGAUGGUGGAAUUCCCGGUGUAGCGGUGAAAUGCGUAGAGAUCGGGAGGAACAUCAGUGGCGAAGGCGGCCAUCUGGGACAACACUGACGCUGAGGCACGAAAGCGUGGGGAGCAAACAGGAUUAGAUACCCGUGUAGUCCCUGUCUCUUAUACA
rnacentral:rRNA from 1 species